GAUGAACGCUGGCGGCGUGCCUAAUACAUGCAAGUCGAGCGAACAGACGAGGAGCUUGCUCCUCUGACGUUAGCGGCGGACGGGUGAGUAACACGUGGAUAACCUACCUAUAAGACUGGGAUAACUUCGGGAAACCGGAGCUAAUACCGGAUAAUAUAUUGAACCGCAUGGUUCAAUAGUGAAAGACGGUUUUGCUGUCACUUAUAGAUGGAUCCGCGCCGCAUUAGCUAGUUGGUAAGGUAGCGGCUUACCAAGGCAACGAUGCGUAGCCGACCUGAGAGGAUGAUCGGCCACACUAGAACUGAGACACGGUCCAGACUCCUACGGGAGGCAGCAGUAGGGAAUCUGCCGCAAUGGGCGAAAGCCUGACUGAGCAACGCCGCGUGAGUGAUGAAGGUCUUCGGAUCGUAAAACUCGGUGAUUAGGGAAGAACAAAUGUGUAAGUAACUAUGCACGUCUUGACGGUACCUAAUCAGAAAGCCGCGGCUAACUACGUG
rnacentral:rRNA from 1 species